AUGCCGUGGUGUGGGCAUACUGCAAUGUAUUCCUGAAGAUGUUCCCAGGCUACCGAGACUGUCUCAUCUCGGAGUUGUUGAAAGCUGGAAAUCCUGUUCCGAAGGGC